rnacentral:lncRNA from 1 species
UAACAUUAUAUAAACAGCGAAAAUAAUAAAACAAAAGAAUGAAAUGUAACAAUUUGAAAGAAAAUCGAUACAAAUCCAUAAACAAAAGCUACUCAGAAAUGGUAUCACAAUUUCAUAGACUGUCUAGGAAUAAUACAAAUAGGGUCCGAACAAAAUAGAUACAUGUUUGUCUUUGAAAUAAUAAAGAACAAAAGAAAAACUAGACAAGACGGGGACGCCAAGGCCUGCGGACGCCUACAGGACUGCCUCGGGUGGCCUGAUGGACUGAAGGCAGCAACCUCACUGCAGUCCAAAAGCUGUAGCUCCGGGAUCUGCACACAGUGCAGAGUGUAGUAUCAACACAACCGACCCCAUAUGCUGGUAAGUGCCUAGCCUAACCUCGGCAAAGUAGUAAUAAGGCUAGGACAAGACUACCAAAUAAACCUAUGCAGUUAAAUCAUAUACAACAAAAAAAUAAAGGUAGAAAUUUACAGUUAAAGAUAGGAGGGGAAUAACAUGCUGCGGGGAAUAUCAGGUAACAACAGAAAACCAAUAGAAGGAUGUAAAGAAAGCCAUGAUUCAAUUAUCAGCAAGAAUCAAGAACUCAAUAACACGUGCACGACAUCACCUUUCGUGCUUUUACCUCAGAUAAUCAUGGCACAGAAUUAUCCUUCGUGCAUUAUUGCUCAUAUUAUGGCACAACAUUGUACAUCGUGCAGCAUGGCAUCACCCUUCGUGCUUUUACCUCACAAUAUCGACACGAUAUCACCCUCCGUGCAUUAACAUUCUCAAACUCAUGCACGAUAUCACCCUUCAUGCUUUACACUUUUCCUCACCCAAGCAAUAAUCACAAAGCAAUUUGGGCAACGGAAUCAAUAAUAUAACAAUUAAUUUCCGGCAAGGGAACAAUAGCAUAACAACAAUAUCCCGACAAGGGAAACAAUAUCAUGAGUAAUAAUAUCCCGGCAAGGGAGAUAAUAUCAAAAACAAUAACACCCCAGCAAGGGAGACAAUACCAUAAAUCUCUUCUCUUUUCCACAAUUACUUCACAACUCAAUUAUCAACUUGAGCCAACGCUCCACAAUGUUUAAUUUCCAAUAAUACUUCCACAAGCCUUGUUCACCAAUAGAAAUCAUCAUAUAAAGCAUGAACAAUACGAAAUGAAGUCACAUUGAUCAUAGUAUAAGUCUCACGGGCAUGCUUGACACCGACAUAUAAAUACUCAUCACCAUGACUAUACGUCAUACUCAACAAUUAACACAUAACAAAUAAGACACAACUCUUAAUCCUUCAAGCUAAGGUUAGACCAAACACUUGCCUCAAUGCCACAAACACAAUUCAAGCCUCAACUACCUCUUUACCUCUUGUCUCCACCAUCAAUUCGCUUGUAUCUAGCCAUAAUUUACUUAAUAAAUGCCAAAUGAAUCAAUUCUAAUGCAUGGAAAUAGGUUUUCUAAAGAUUUCUCCAAAAAAUAAAAAAUCGACCUCCGGCCCACAUGGUCAAAACCCGAGGUUCGAACCAAAACCCGAUUACCCAUUCACCCACAAACUCAAAUAUAUAAUUUAUUUUUAAAUCGGACCUCGAAUCGAGGUCUAAAUCCCCAAAAUUUGAAAAUCCUAAGUUCUACCCAAAACACCCAAUUCCUCCAUGAAAACCCUUAAUUUUGAGUUGAAAUCAUGUGAAAAGAUGUUAUAGAUUAAAUAAAAUAAGUUAGAAAUGACUUACAAUCGAUUUGGAGAAGAACGUUUCUUUGGAAAAUCUCCCAAGAGAGCUUAGGGUUUGAAGGAAUUGGAAAAUGAAGAAUUUUCGACUAAGUUACAAUUUGCACAGGCGCAUAUAUUGCAUUUGUGAUGUCCUGUUUGCAAAUGCAAACUCGUAAUUGUGGCCAAAGCUUUGCAAUUACGAAAAAAGGAAUGCCUCUACUUUCUUCGCAAAUACGAAUAAAUGUUCGCAAUUUCGGUGCCUGCUAAUGCCUCAUUUGCGACAUAAGCCUCGCAAAUGCGAAGGUUCCCUGCCCAAACCCAUCAUCGCAAUUGCGAUAUUUCUUCGCAAAUGUGAUCUCGCAUUUGCGAGCAAGGCUUCGCAAUUGGACCUGCACCAUAACAACAAUUUUCCUAAGUCCAAUUUCACUCCGAGAUCUAUCUAAAACUCACCUGAGCCCUCGGGGGUCCAAACCAAACAUGCACGCAAGUCCAAAAAUAUCAUACGAACUUGCUCGUGCGAUCAAAUCAUCAAAAUAACAUCAACAACUAUGAAUUAAGCCUCAUAUUCAUCAAAUCACUCAAGAACAUUAAAAUUUCCAAUUUCUUACCAAACUUCACAGAUUCAACUUAAUUAUCAUAUAAAACAUGUAUCGGGCUCUGUCACACCUCCUUUUUCCGCCCCCGCGAGGGUACGUAGGGAGUUUUUUCCAAUUAAAGGACAAUCAAAACGGGAUUUGUUUAUUUAUUUCAGAGUCGCCACUUGGGAGAUUUAGGGUGUCCCAAGUCACCAAUUUUAAUCCCGAAUCGAGGAAAAGAAUGACUCCAUAUUAUAGUCUGCGUACCAGAAAUCCGGAUAAGGAAUUCUGUUAACCCGGGAGAAGGUGUUAGGCAUUCCCGAGUUCCGUGGUUCUAGCACGGUCGCUCAACUGUCAUAUUCGGCUUGAUUAUCUGAUUUUAUACAUAUAGAACUUAUGUGCGAAUUUUAACUUUUAACCGCUUUUGUCAUUAUUAUUAUUUUUAUCAAGAAUUGCAACAUCGUGAAAACAUAUCUUGAACCACGUUACAUCAAUGCACCCGUGGUUGUUGACAUAUCUCGACUCGGUUGAGAUUUGGAUUUGGGUCACAUAAAUGUGCACCCGAGUUUAAGGAAAAUAAAUUAUUAAAGGUGCGUCUACAGCAACUAGCGUAUUGUCAUUCUGGGUAGGGCCGUGGAGUUUUGCUAAACGGUCCAUCCCGAAGUCUAAGCAAUUUUUUAAAGAAAAUAUGUACUGAGGGCCCCGCAAUUUUGUAUUUUUCUUCGGCGAGGCUCAUCCCGCUCUUAUUUUUAAAGAAUUGCAACGUCGUGGACAUGCAUCUCGGACCACGUCACAAUCAAUGUGCCUGUAGUUUUUAACAUAUUUUAACGUCGUUGAGAUUUGAUUUGGAUCACAUAAAUGCGCACCCGAAUUUAAGAAAGUAAUUUUAUUAAAUAUGCGUCUAAAGUAACUGCGCGUUUGCACUUUGCGAGGGCCAUGAAAUUUGCUAAAUGGCGCGCCUCGGUUUAUUUCAAAAGAUCACAUUUAACUUAAAGCACGAAUGUUCAUAAUCAAAACAAACUUAACCAUAUAAAUAUCCAUAGGCUAACUAUAAGGAAAACAAAAAAACUAAAAAAUAUAAACUAUGAAGACAACAUUAACGUAAAGGAAUCCACAAAGAUAUCAUAACUUUAUUCACUUUUAAAAAAAGACAACAAGCAAAAUAAUCACAUGGGCCACAGGGUUAUCAUGGCUUUAUUCACUUUUAAAAAGAGAACAACAAGUAAAAUAAUCACAUGGGCAUAUAACUGGCGCAACAACCAUGACCGAACAUUAAAACUUUUCUUAUUUUCGUUUCUUCUGUGAUUAAAUAGAAUAGAGAUCCAUUUGAAAUAAACUUAAUAAAAGGAUAUGAAAAUCAGUCGAAAUCAAUUUUAACAUAUAACCAAACACAGUUACUACAUUAUGAUACCUAUUUCCAUAUUUGUUGGAUUGUUUUUCUCUUUCGCUGGAUUCACACUUUUAAUGGAUUAGUGUCUAAAUCAAAACAAAUAAUCAAGGAAAACAUUAAUCUUCACACAAGUUACCGAAGAAGCAAAAUACAUAGACAGAAACAUGUAAGCAGAACAAAUCCAAAAUAAAGAAAGUGGGUCUUACAUUGAAUCUUCACACACAAAAACGACAGUAAUCACUGGACCAAAAUGGAAACCUCGACAGAAAUAGGAAGCUCGAACCAAGACUGUCAACGACCCGAGAUGUUGGCUGUUGCUGGGUUUUUUUUUUCGACGCAGCAGAUUGAUUCGAGAAGAUGAAGCAGAAGGGGUCGUUUUGAUGUGAGAGAGUGGGAGUUUUUGUUUUCUUUUCAAUUUUUUUUAGGAAGAAGAAGAUGAAGUCCAAAACCUUUUUUCUCUCCUCCCCGUUUUUUUUUCGUUUUUUCCUUAUGAAGAAGAAGGUAACCCCCUUCUUCUAAUUUUUUCUUUUUUUUCAAUCUCUUUUCCCUUCUUUUCUUUUUCCAGACCCCCUUUUUCCUUUAUAAAUCCACCCGUCCCUUUCCAAUUUUCCUUUUCGUUUUUCAAUCCAACCUUUUCCUUUUUUUCAAACUCCCCUCCUCCAUUCCUCUUCCCCA